UCCCCCCCCCACUCCCGUGUGGAAGCAGCACCGACGGCCCUCGUCCUCCGUGAGCGUCCUUAAGUGCCCACUGGGGAAACUGAGGCACGGAAAAAAAAUCCUGGCCGAGGCGACCGGCUCUUUUCCCGUAUCAGAGAGCUCUUCCCAGGAUGACUGCUUGGCCUCCUUUACGUGUCUCCACGCCUGGAAGCAUUUCCAAGAGCUCCACGAGAUGCUGGAGGACACCCAGCGGACAUGCGGACACCGAUGGGGAGAAGCUGUUCCCCCAAAGGUCAUUGCCAUCAACACGAGGAGAAAUGUCCCAGAAGGAGCUGCAGACACAGCUGACAACACAUUUUGGUGAAAAACUUCAUUUGACAACGGUGACUGCAGCAACAUUCCUAAAAGAUGAAGCACGCACGGUUUCGUUGGCCAACACUACUCACGGGCUCACGUGGAAUUGGCUGAACUGACUUCCUGUAUCUCCCAGCAAACCUCACCCAACCCAGUUUGGUGGGAUCCCACCCAACCCCAUCCAGUGACUUUGCUGAGUGGGAGAGGUGACGUGGUCAGUCUGAAGGUCUGGAGAUAGCACUAUAUUGGGGGGAAAAAAGCUCAUUUAGAGCAUGGAUUAUCUGCAGGUUUGAAGAUCAAGGUCUCUGUGUUGGAUGCAUCAAGCGAGCCAAGAUAAGCCAAGCUGUUCUCACCGCUUUGCAUUGGAAGAGCUAUCUCUACUAACAACUGGGCUUGGCAGUCUUAACAUUGAGGGGAAAGAAACAUUUGGAUUCUCCCACUGGGCCUUCCUGCAGCCCUUUUUGGUGGUUAAAAGGCAGGGAGCAAAAGGUAGGGAGCGCUUAAUGGUCUCUUUUAGGGAUGGAAAGAGUGUGGCUCUCCAGAGCCUGGCACUGGAACAGCAUCAGCAGCGUCCCGGUGGGCGAGGAGUCCAUCCAGUUGCAUAGCUCUCACAGAGUCACCAAAUGCCACCAAGUAAUUCCACCAAGACCUCAGCAAAUUGUGUUCAAGGUAGCAGCCAAAAAAACCAAGCCAGGGUGUCUUCCCUUGGUGCUUUUCUCAAGCAUGUCCAAUGCAGUGUGUAAUUGUGGUCCCCAAGAGAAGCAUGAUGGUUUUGGAGAAGCAGAGAGAACAACAAAACUCAUACUAUCGUGGAAUCAUCUAGGUUGGAAAAGACCUCCAAGAUCACCAAGUCCAACCAUCAGCCUGACCUACUGAGUUCCACCACUGAGCCGCGUCCCCGUGCCAAAUGACCUCCCAGGGGGAGUUGGGAAGGCCAGGAUCGUUCAGCCUGGAGAGGGGAAGGCUGAGGAGAGCUGGUGAACAAGGUGCCCCUAAUCACAGGGACCGUGCAUAGAGUGGAUACAAGCCUAUUACUAAAAUGAGUAGCAAAUCAAUUUCAAAUGAAUAAAAAGACGCAGGGAAGGCAGAUUUGCAUGGAGCAGUUAACUGGACCAGGCUCUCCCAGGCCAUAGAACCACAUGGGCUGAAAAAGACCUUCCAGAUGAUGCCUAACCAUCCACACAAAUCCAGCUAGAUGCACUUGGAUUGCUCCUUAUCUCAGCUUGACCUCAUCAGGGCCUGGCAACAAGCUUCAAUCCUUACCCACUCACGCAUGUGAAGGCUGAAUUUCUGCACCUAUGGGUGUCUCCUUCAGUGUCACCCAGAAACCUGGCAAGAAGUCACACUCACAGCAUGGCAUCGCAUCCACUUGGUGAUGAGCCAGGUGUGAAAGUUGCUUGGUCUUCCCAGCAUGGGGUUUGCCUUUCAGAGGCACCUUUGCGUACCAAAAGAGAACGUGGUAAGAGGCAGCAUUUCGUUAGUCAGGAAGUUAUGAAUCGAUAGCUUGAUUGAAAUAAUUAUCAAGAUUAAGAACUACAGGAAAUACCCAGAGCUGCAUUUACAGUCGAGAGCAUCUCCAGGGAACAGGGAAAGCUUCACCAAGGCAGAAGCUUUGAUGCAGGAAGCAAAGGCUGUAGGAUGCUGUAUGUCAGCACCAAGUCCCACAGUUCAGACCUCCAUCUGCCCUCUGUGCUGGCUGCCUCUGGGAGCUCAGCAGAGACCAAAAUAAUGGUGAAUAUGGACUGCUUUUCCUGGGUCAGUCCCCAAGCACGCUCAAACAUUUAUUUUCUUAGAACAAGCCAGAUUCUUACAUUUCCCUUAGAAGGAGCCCUGUAGCAGGGAGCUGGAACUGGAUGGGCUUUAAGGUCCCUUCCAACCCAAACUAUUCCAUGAUUCUAAGAUUCCAAUUCUGAUGCUAUCAUUUUGAGAGUAGUUUUUAAGACUGCAAAGGGAAUGCUGACACUUGGUGGAGUGGAAAAGCAGGUAGGUGUGAAGUACAUUAAUUUUAGAGUGCUUUCGCUCCUCUCUGGCUUUUAGGUCCUUGGAAUUCAUGGGGAAAUCUUCCAUCCCGUUAGGGCUAUACAUCAGUAAUGGAAAAAACGAGAUUAGCAGCAUGAAAACUUUUUGUUCAGUAAACACUCAGAUAUAGAGAAUACUCAAAUGCCAGCAAAAGCAGUGAAACUUUCCUUCCUUGCUGAAAGCGAUGGCUGUGGGGGAGGUAGCCCUGCAAUAAAUAAGUAAAUAAAAUAAAACACUUCUGGAGUGAGGAAUAGAAAUCUGAUUUAUAUUAACGUUAAAUAAAAGUACUGAGAACUGCUGAGCAGGAGGAGGAGUUGAGUUUCAAUGGGUGAUGCCAACGUAGGGGAUUGGAACUACGUGAUCUCUGAGGUCCCUUCCACCUCAAGCCAUUCUGUGACUCUACGAUUCUAUGAUGGUGAUAGAGGACAGAAUGGGAUGAAAACCCCAGAACGGCUUACCAAAAACCAUGUCCAGAUUUGUCAUUGGUGAGCAUUUUAAUCCAGACCAUUUAAAUCCAGACUUGGGGAAUGACAAGAGACAGCAACACGGAGCUGGAGGCAAGCAGGGCUGCAGGAGGGGACAACGCCUGGAGGAGUUAUUUAUGCUUCACCAUGGAACCAAGGAGAUUCACAGCCUGGGAGUCCCUGGAGAGCUGUCCCAGGCCUGGUACUGCUCAAAAUAUUUUGUUAAUAAUUACUUGCAUGAAUAGAAAAUCUGCUUAUUGCAGCUGCAAAUGACACCAAGCUGGGAGGGACUUUGAGCACUUUGGAGCAUGGGCUGAAACUUCAAAACAAACUUGAUGCAUUAGAGAAAUGGCUUGGAAAAAAAAUAAACAAAUAGGCUGCGAUUCAUUGGAAACAAAGGAAAAACUUUCUGCUUGUGUAAGAAGGCUGGAGCUGCAGAGCACAAAUGCAAACAGCCCUCAUCAUGCUGCUGCAAAAAGGGCAAACUGCAGGCAGGGAUGAAGCAGGGGGAAUGGGGUGUGCAGGGACAUGGAGCAAUGUCUGGGUCUGCUUGGGA